AGUAGGAUAGCUGGGUCAAAUGGUAGUUCCAUUCCAAGUUUACUGAGGAAUCUCCAUACUGCUUUCCAUAAUGGUUGUACCAAUCUGUAGUCCCAACAGCAAU
rnacentral:pre_miRNA from 1 species